GCCCCGCAGCCCGGCUGAGCGCCGCCUCUCCGCUGUCGCCGCCCCGAGCAGAGCGCAGGCGCUCGCGGUCCGCCUCGCGGGAGAGGGAGAGGAGGCGCAGGGAGCGGUCCCGGUCCCGCGAGAGGGACAGGAGGAGGAGCCGGUCGCGCUCCCCGCACCGCCGGCGCUCCAGGUCCCCGAGGCGGCACCGGUCCAGCUCUUCCUCGCCGCCRCGGCUGAAGGAGAGGCGCGACGAAGAGAAGAAGGAAAUAAAGGACUCCAAAGGCAAAGAGCGGCAGAUCACGGAGGAAGAUCUGCAGGGCAAGACGGAAGAGGAAAUCGAGAUGAUGAAGAUGAUGGGGUUUGCCUCCUUCGACACGACGAAGGGCAAGAAGGUGGACGGUGCUGCAAAUGCUUACGCCAUCAACGUGUCGCAGAAGAGGAAAUACAGGCAGUACAUGAACAGAAAAGGAGGAUUCAACAGGCCUUUGGAUUUCAUUGCUUGAUGCUUGGACUGGUCGCUUGCCGGUGGGRAAGGACUUCGGCAGCACCAGCGAAGAGCACUUGCUUUUACAUGUGCUGGUAGCUCAGAGACAGGAUCUUGGCGUCUCUCCGUACAAUGGAAUUGGUUAUUUAUAACAAAUCCAGAUGUACUCGCUCUGCCCCAUAGGAAGAGAGGGUAAAAACCGUUAUUUCCUAGAGUCUUUGGUUUUUAUAAUGUCCGGAUUGGUUUGUUGCUUGUCAGGAUUACCUGAUGGUUGUAUUUUUCUGGUUGUUUUUUUUUUUCUUAAAUAACUCGGUGUUGUCCGUUACAAUAAAAAUCUGUAUAUAUUUUUCUUUUUGUUUUUU
rnacentral:lncRNA from 1 species